rnacentral:rRNA from 1 species
CCUACGGGAGGCAGCAGUGGGGAAUCUUCCGCAAUGGACGAAAGUCUGACGGAGCAACGCCGCGUGAGUGAUGAAGGUCUUCGGAUUGUAAAACUCUGUUGUUAGGGACGAAAGCACCGUGUUCGAACAGGUCAUGGUGUUGACGGUACCUAACGAGGAAGCCACGGCUAACUACGUGCCAGCAGCCGCGGUAAUACGUAGGUGGCAAGCGUUGUCCGGAAUUAUUGGGCGUAAAGAGCAUGUAGGCGGGCUUUUAAGUCUGACGUGAAAAUGCGGGGCUUAACCCCGUAUGGCGUUGGAUACUGGAAGUCUUGAUUGCAGGAGAGGAAAGGGGAAUUCCCAGUGUAGCGGUUAAAUGCGUAGAUAUUGGGAGGAACACCAGUGGCGAAGGCGCCGUUCUGGACUGUGUCUGACGCUGAGAUGCGAAAGCCAGGGUAGCAAACGGGAUUAGAUACCCUGGUAGUC